rnacentral:lncRNA from 1 species
CUAUUAUUAUUUGUUAAUAUGUUUUCCUCGUUGUUGUUCUGGCCAUGGUUGCCGUUGCUUCUGCUCAGUUGAUCACCAGCGGAGGAGUUAAGGACUGGGCUGGAAAUUACUACGAUUUCACUACCGGCCAAGUGGCCAGCUCUGCUACUGGACGAGUCUACAACACUGGUGUUCUUCCCAUUCCAUAUGCCGCACAUCAUGCAGUGCUUCUCUAAAGAUGAAGAUGGCAACUUCCAUUAAAAAAUUCUUCAAACACCUGGAUGUUCGAAAAAGUCAAAAAUAGUUUCAACCUUACAGUCACAGUAAUUUCAGUGUGUUCUUAUGAUUAGAUAAAUCUGAUGCAUUUUUUUAAAACACUGCAAAACAUUGCUGUAAAAUUUUAAAAAAAUAAACUUUUUUAGAAAGCA